rnacentral:rRNA from 1 species
UACGUAGGGCGCAAGCGUUGUCCGGAAUUAUUGGGCGUAAAGAGCUCGUAGGCGGUCUGUCGCGUCGGCUGUGAAAGCCCGGGGCUCAACCCCGGGUCUGCAGUCGAUACGGGCAGGCUAGAGUGCGGUAGGGGAGACUGGAAUUCCUGGUGUAGCGGUGAAAUGCGCAGAUAUCAGGAGGAACACCGGUGGCGAAGGCAGCUCUCUGGUACAUGAUUGACGCUGAGACGCGAAAGCGUGGGGAGCGAACAGG